rnacentral:rRNA from 1 species
GRCUCACGGCCURUCAGCUUGUUGGUGWGGUAAUGGCUCAGCAARRCGACGACGKGUAGCCGGCCUGAGAGGGUGACCGKCCACACUGGGACUGAGACRCGKCCCAGACUCYUACGKGAGGCAGCAGUGGGGAAUAUUGCACAAUGGSMGAAAGCCUGAUGCAGCGACGCCGCGUGAGGGAUGACGRCMUUCGGGUUGUAAACCUCUUUCAGCAGGGAAGAAGYCWCAAGUGACGGUACCUGCAGAAGAAGCGCCGGCUAACUACGUGCCAGCAGCCGCGGUAAUAYGUAGGGCGCAAGCGUUGUCCGGAAUUAUUGGGCGUAAAGAGCUCGUAGGCGGUUUGUCGCGUCUGCUGUGAAAGCCCGGGGCUUAACCCCGGGUGUGCAGUGGGUACGKGCAGACUAGAGUGCAGUAGGGGAGACUGGAAUUCCUGGUGUAGCGGUGGAAUGCGCAGAUAUCAGGAGGAACACCGAUGGCGAAGGCAGGUCUCUGGGCUGUUACUGACGCUGAGGAGCGAAAGCAUGGGGAGCGAACAGGAUUAGAUACCCUGGUAGUCCAUGCCGUAAACGUUGGGCWCUAGGUGUGGGGGACAUUCCACGUUUUCCGCGCCGUAGCUAACGCAUUAAGUGCCCCGCCUGGGGAGUMCGGCCGCAAGGCUAAAACUCAAAGGAAUUGMCGSGGGCCCGCACAAGCGGCGGAGCAUGCGGAUUAAUUCGAUGCAACGCGAAGAACCUUACCAAGGCUUGACAUAUACCGGAUCGUUCCAGAGAUGGUUCUUCCCCUUUGGGGUCGGUAUACAGGUSGUGCAUGGUGUCGUGAGAUGUUGGGUUAAGUCCCGCAACGAGCGCAACCCUCGUUCCAUGUUGCCAGCACGUGAUGGUGGGGACUCAUGGGAGACUGCCGGGGUCAACUCGGAGGAAGGUGGGGAUGACGUCAAAUCAUCAUGCCCCUUAUGUCUUGGCUUCACGCAUGCUACAAUGRYCGGKACAAAGGGUUGYGAUACUGUGAGGUGGAGCUAAUCCCAAAMAAGCCGGUCUCAGUUCGGAUUGAGGUCUGCWACUCGACCYUCAUGAAGUUCGGAGUCGCUAGUAAUCRYAGAUCAGCYAACGCUGYGGWGAAUACGUUSCCCGGACCUUGUACACACCCGCCCGGUCAAGU